GCCCUGGUGGUGUAAGGCGUAGCAUUCCUGCUCGGAAAGUAGAUUAUGCGGGUUCGAGUCCCGUUUGAAGCA
rnacentral:tRNA from 1 species